AGAACUGGGCCUCUGUCUUGUCUCUGUUCAGUCUCGCCCCAGAGGCUCGUCCGUACCAGUCAGUCCUGUCCAGAGUCCAGCUCGGCCUUUUGGCUAAGAUCAAGUGUACUGCGCAUGAUCAGAGAAGCGAUCAGCAGGCCGGAGGGCGCCCGGAGACAGUGCUAUUUACUUUGUUAAAAGUCAUUUCUGUUGUUUUGUUUCACUAUUGUUUUCUGUCCUGGGUUAGGUGGUGGUUCUGGUGGUGGACUACAGGUGCACCAGCACCUGUAGGGAAAUGGGAGGAUAAGUGGCAGCAUGGGCCCUCCAUUUGGAGUGGUUCCAAUUUUAACAAGAACGACGGUGUUGCUAUUUUAAUCAAGACCCCACAGGUGGUGGUGAAGGGGAGCACGGUGGUGGUAGGAUCGGGAACCAGUAUGUCCAGUGCGCGGGCUCGCUAUAGGUGAGCCCACAACGGUUUGGCGCAACGUGGCCCAUCCUGCUCUCCUGAAUCGGCUUCGGGACCUGUCCUGGAUGGUCGCCCACGAGAUCCUCCCGGUCAGGGCCGUUAUGCACUCACGGGGCAUGGCGAGGAUAUCCGCGUGCCCCCGACCAAGCUGCGGCCAAGAAGAGUCGGUGAGGCACAUGCUCUGGGAGUGCAGAGCCGCCAGGGACCUGUGGAAGGAAGCAGGCCCCCUGAUCACCUCGUGUCUGCCAGCAGGGGAGGACCUAACACCUCAGCUCGUGCUGCCCCUUUACUUUCAGUGCAGCAAACUCUCUCCAGAAGUUCAGUGAGGAUCUCUGAAUGAUCCAAUGUUGACCUAAAUGAUUAAUGAUGAUAAAUACAAUCCACCUGUGUGUAAUCAAGUCUCCGUAUAAAUGCACCUGCACUGUGAUAGUCUCAGAGGUCCGUUAAAAGCGCAGAGAGCAUCAUGAAGAACAAGGAACACACCAGGCAGGUCCGAGAUACUGUUGUGAAGAAUUUUAACGCCGGAUUUGGAUACAAAAAGAUUUCCCAAGCUUUAAACAUCCCAAGGAGCACUGUGCAAGCGAUAAUAUUGAAAUGGAAGGAGUAUCAGACCACUGCAAAUCUACCAAGACCUGGCCGUCC